GACGAACGCUGGCGGCGUGCAUAACACAUGCAAGUCGAACGCUGAAGCUCAGCUUGCUGGGUGGAUGAGUGGCGAACGGGUGAGUAACACGUGAGUAACCUGCCCUCUUCUUUGGGAUAACGCCCGGAAACGGGUGCUAAUACUGGAUAUUCACUGAUUCUCGCAUGGGGGUUGGUGGAAAGGUUUUUUCUGGUGGGGGAUGGGCUCGCGGCCUAUCAGCUUGUUGGUGGGGUGAUGGCCUACCAAGGCUUUGACGGGUAGCCGGCCUGAGAGGGUGACCGGUCACAUUGGGACUGAGAUACGGCCCAGACUCCUACGGGAGGCAGCAGUGGGGAAUAGUGCACAAUGGGCGAAAGCCUGAUGCAGCGACGCCGCGUGAGGGAUGGAGGCCUUCGGGUUGUAAACCUCUUUCGCUCAUGGUCAAGCCGCAGCUUUGGGUUGUGGUGAGGGUAGUGGGUAAAGAAGCGCCGGCUAACUACGUG
rnacentral:rRNA from 1 species